UACGAAGGGGGCUAGCGUUGCUCGGAAUCACUGGGCGUAAAGCGCACGUAGGCGGAUUCUUAAGUCAGGGGUGAAAUCCUGGAGCUCAACUCCAGAACUGCCUUUGAUACUGGGAAUCUCGAGUCCGGGAGAGGUGAGUGGAACUGCGAGUGUAGAGGUGAAAAUUCGUAGAUAUUCGCAAGAACACCAGUGGCGAAGGCGGCUCACUGGUCCGGUACUGACGCUGAGGUGCCGGAAAGCGUGGGGAGCAAACAGG
rnacentral:rRNA from 1 species